GGGGAUGUAGCUCAGUGGUAGAGUGCUUGUUUAACAUGUGCUGAAGUCCUGGGUUCCAUCCCCA
rnacentral:tRNA from 1 species